rnacentral:rRNA from 1 species
CGCCGCGGUAAUACAUAGGGGGCAAGCGUUAUCCGGAAUUAUUGGGCGUAAAGGGUGCGUAGGCGGUUUGUUAAGUUUAAGGUAUAAGCUCAUGGCUCAACCAUGGGAGGCUUUAGAAACUGGCAGACUUGAGUAAGGUAGAGGCAAGUGGAAUUCCAUGUGUAGCGGUAAAAUGCGUAAAUAUAUGGAGGAACACCAGUGGCGAAGGCGGCUUGCUGGGCCUUAACUGACGCUGAGGCACGAAAGCGUGGGGAGCAAACAGGAUUAGAUACCCUGGUAGUCCACGCCGUAAACGAUGAGUACUAAGUGCUGGAGGAUUCAGUGCUGAAGCUAACGUAAUAAGUACUCCGCCUGAGUAGUACGUACGCAAGUAUGAAACUCAAAGGAAUUGACGGGACCCCGCACAAGCGGUGGAUCAUGUUGUUUAAUUCGAGGAUACGCGAAGAACCUUACCAGGCCUUGACAUACCUUGCAAAGCUAUGGAGACAUAGUGGAGGAUAACAGGGAUACAGGUGGUGCAUGGCC